UACGUAGGGUGCAAGCGUUAAUCGGAAUUACUGGGCGUAAAGCGUGCGCAGGCGGUUUUGUAAGUUUGUCGUGAAAGCCCCGGGCUCAACCUGGGAAUUGCGAUGAAGACUGCAAGGCUUGAAUCUGGCAGAGGGGGGUAGAAUUCCACGUGUAGCAGUGAAAUGCGUAGAGAUGGUGGAGGAACACCGAUGGCGAAGGCAGCCCCCUGGGGUCAAGAUUGACGCCUCAUGCACGAAAGCGUGGGGAGCAAACAGG
rnacentral:rRNA from 1 species